rnacentral:rRNA from 1 species
CGGAGUGGACGCAUCACUGGUGUUCGGGUUGUCAUGCCAAUGGCACUGCCCGGUAGCUAAAUGCGGAAGAGAUAAGUGCUGAAAGCAUCUAAGCACGAAACUUGCCCCGAGAUGAGUUCUCCCUGACUCCUUGAGAGUCCUGAAGGAACGUUCAAGACGACGACGUUGAUAGGCCGGGUGUGUAAGCGCAGCGAUGCGUUGAGCUAACCGGUACUAAUGAACCGUGAGGCUUAACCUUACAACGCCGAAG